rnacentral:pre_miRNA from 1 species
UGUAUACUUCCUCCGUCUCAAAAUUCUUGUCUUAAAUUUGUCUAUAUAUGAAUGUAUCUAGUCACGUUUUAGUAUUUACAUACAUCCAUUUUUAGACAAAUUUAAGACAAGAAUUUUAGGACGGAGGGAGUAUUAG